rnacentral:rRNA from 1 species
GACGAACGCUGGCGGCGUGCCUAACACAUGCAAGUCGAGCGAAGUGAGUACUACGGUACGAACUUAGCGGCAGACGGGUGAGUAACGCGUGGACAAUCUACCCUGCAGACUGGGAUAACACCUCGAAAGGGGUGCUAAUACCGGAUAAUGUCGAGAAGCGGCAUCGCUUUUCGAAGAAAGGAGAGAAUCCGCUAUAGGAGGAGUCCGCGUCCCAUUAGCUAGUUGGUGAGGGUAACGGCCCACCAAGGCGACGAUGGGUAGCCGGCCUGAGAGGGUGAACGGCCACACUGGAACUGAGACACGGUCCAGACUCCUACGGGAGGCAGCAGUGGGGAAUAUUGUGCAAUGGGGGAAACCCUGACACAGCAACGCCGCGUGAGCGAAGAAGGCCUUCGGGUUGUAAAGCUCAAUAGUAUGGAAGAUAAUGACGGUGCCAUACGAAAGCCCCGGCUAACUACGUGCCAGCAGCCGCCGUAACAC